rnacentral:rRNA from 1 species
GAUAAGUCGGGUCCGGCUCGCUCGUUAGCAGGAGGGGUGCGGUGGUUAGUGGGACUUACUGGUCGUAAGGCGUGCGGAGGUGUUGCGUUAAGUCUGUCGUGAAAGCCCCGGGCUCAACCGGGGAAUGGCGAUGGAUACUGGCGGGCUAGAGUGCGGUAGAGGAGAGGGGAAUUCCCGGGGUAGCAGUGAAAUGCGUAGAGAUCGGGAGGAACAUCAGUUGCGAAGGCGGCUCUCUGGACCAGCACUGACACUGAGGCACGAAAGCGUGGGGAGCAAACAGGAUUAGAUACCCGAGUAGUC